rnacentral:rRNA from 1 species
AUUGAACGCUGGCGGCAUGCCUAACACAUGCAAGUCGAACGGGGCAGCAAUGCCUAGUGGCGAACGGGUGAGGAAUACGUAGGAAUCUGCCCUUAAGUGGGGGAUAACCAGGGGAAACCCUGACUAAUACCGCAUGAUCUCUUCGGAGCAAAGAGGGGGACCGCAAGGCCUCUCGCUUCUGGAUGAGCCUACGUCUGAUUAGCUAGUUGGUAGGGUAAAGGCCUACCAAGGCGACGAUCAGUAACUGGUCUGAGAGGAGGAUCAGUCACACCGGAACAGAGACACGGUCCGGACUCGGACGGGAGGAAGCAGUGGGGAAUAUUGGACAAUGGGCGCAAGCCUGAUCCAGCAAUGCCGCGUGUGUGAAGAAGGCCUUCGGGUUGUAAAGCACUUUAGCCUGGAAAGAAAAAACUUUGGUUAACACCCAAAGUCUUGACGGUACCAGGAGAAUAAGCACCGGCUAACUCUGUGCCAGCCGCCGCAGUAAAAC